rnacentral:misc_RNA from 1 species
GAUGGAGAACGCAGCGAAAUGCGAUAAGUAAUGUGAAUUGCAGAAUUCAGUGAAUCAUCGAAUCUUUGAACGCACAUUGCGCCCGCCAGUAUUCUGGCGGGCAUGCCUGUCCGAGCGUCAUUUCAACCCUCGAACCCCUCCGGGGGGUCGGCGUUGGGGAUCGGCCCCUCACCGGGCCGCCCCCGAAAUCCAGUGGCGGUCUCGCCGCAGCCUCUCCUGCGCAGUAGUUUGCACACUCGCACCGGGAGCGCGGCGCGGCCACAGCCGUAAAACACCCCAAACUCUGAAAUGUUGACCUCGGAUCAGGUAGGAAUACCCGCUGAACUUAAGCAUAUCAAUAAGCGGAGGA